AUUGAACGCUGGCGGCAUGCCUUACACAUGCAAGUCGAACGGCAGCACGGGAGCAAUCCUGGUGGCGAGUGGCGAACGGGUGAGUAAUAUAUCGGAACGUGCCCAGUCGUGGGGGAUAACGUAGCGAAAGCUACGCUAAUACCGCAUACGAUCUAUGGAUGAAAGCGGGGGAUCGCAAGACCUCGCGCGAUUGGAGCGGCCGAUAUCAGAUUAGGUUGUUGGUGGGGUAAAAGCCUACCAAGCCUGCGAUCUGUAGCUGGUCUGAGAGGACGACCAGCCACACUGGAACUGAGACACGGUCCAGACUCCUACGGGAGGCAGCAGUGGGGAAUUUUGGACAAUGGGCGCAAGCCUGAUCCAGCAAUGCCGCGUGCAGGAUGAAGGCCUCG
rnacentral:rRNA from 1 species